rnacentral:tRNA from 1 species
GCCGGAGUGGCGGAAUAGGCAGACGCCUUGGACUUAAAAUCCAAUGCAACGAAAGUUGCGUACCGGUUCGAGCCCGGUUUCCGGCACCA